rnacentral:ncRNA from 3 species
CCGAAAGAUGGUGAACUAUG